AACCUAAGGCUGAGCAAAGCUACUAAUUUGAUUUGUAUUUGAUAUGAUGUUUGAACUUGUUACUAGUUACUGAAGGAUGAGUGAAUUGUGUGUGUACUGUAUGUGAAGGCUGCUCUGCUGAUCCAACAUAUUUAAGUUGAAGAAGAUGUGCAAAGAAGGUGCCGCAAAGAAGGUGCCUACUGGGAACUGUUGCUAGAGUGUAUGCCAGGAUGGAGUAUGGGGUUGAGAGGAUCCGGGGUACCAGAGACUGGAAGAAUGCUAUGAUAGGGGGAGUUGUGACAGGGCUGGUGAUAUCCCUCGCCAGCAACAAUCAUAAAGACAAGAUUGUAAUGGACGCUAUUACUGGAAGCGCCAUUGCAACAGCUACCGAGUUCAUCAACUAUCUUACAAGUCAGAAAUUGAGAACUGGGACUUGUCUUUGAUGGAUUGGAUGAAUAUUUGAAAUUUUGUUGAUUGAGAACUGAGACUUGUCUUUGAUGGAGGAGAUUUGUGUUUGGCUUUCAGUAUAAUUUGGAUUAGUAUAAUUGAGAAGUGAGACUUGUCUUUGAUGGAUGAGACUUGUGUUUGGCUUUCAGUAUAAUUUGGAUGGUGUUUGAAAUUUUA